rnacentral:lncRNA from 1 species
CCGGAAAUUCGCGUUUUUACAAUUCUCCGGGCGAUUCCAAUUCACGCCACGGUUUGAGAACCACCGAGAAAGCGUAUGGGAGACGCGCCUACCAGUUGGAGCUAAGAAAACACUCUUCCAUUUUCAAAAAGAGUCACGUAAACACAAGGCCGCCAAUAAUAACGAUUACGAUUAUUCCGAGCCAUACAAACAAGCUGUAUUCUUCACCUGCCGGAUUGCAGAGAGAAGGGGUAUUAUGUGAGUUUUCAAGAUUAGCUGUCCUCAGUGGAGGGACACUUUCAUGCCUGGGGACGAGAGGACUGCAUGAGGUUUCUGAAGGCACUUGAGAGGUGCAGAGUCAGAGUUUGGCUUUGACGGCGUGAACCAGAAGGACCGACCCUCUCUGGGCCUCGUGAGGAGCCUGAUGGAAGGUGGGUUUCAGACGCUGUGGGCAGUGAUGGCUGAGGGUCUGGGUGUAAGCUUGGGGCUCUUCCGGAGUUGGGGGUGAGGACAGACCGUCCGGGCCGUGUCCCUCUCCCGGGCACCGCCGGCCAUCGGUCCACUGGCUCAGCCCGGGGGGCCGCUCCCGCUGCGGGGCCCGGCUCGACGCUUUGGAAGAAAGUCCCGUGGACCUGAGCCCAGGUGCAAGGAAUGCUGGGCCGCGGCCUUCAUUCUCCGUGGAACCUAGAACUCGAGGGUUUGG